UGCAAUUUUUAUAUCACCGUGAUCACCAUUCUUUUCUCUACAGGUUGACCGGAGCCGAAUCACCAAAACACGAACCUCACCGGAGAGCCGCCGCACCCGAGAGCGCCGCCGCCGGUAAGCUCCGUUUUUUCGUGAUUUUUUGGCCCCCCGAGGGCCCUAGGGUUGUUUUCUCACAGGGACCGUUGCGAGUGUGGCCGAAUUCGGUCGAAAACAGCCAACCCGAGGCGACUCGCCGGCGCCAGCGGCGGCGCCGUCGCCGGAGCACGGCGGAGCCGCC
rnacentral:lncRNA from 1 species